rnacentral:rRNA from 1 species
AUUGAACGCUGGCGGCAGGCCUAACACAUGCAAGUCGAACGAGUGGCGGACGGGUGAGUAAUGUCUGGGAAACUGCCUGAUGGAGGGGGAUAACUACUGGAAACGGUAGCUAAUACCGCAUACCAUCAGAUGUGCCCAGAUGGGAUUAGCUAGUUGGUGGGGUAACGGCUCACCAAGGCGACGAUCCCUAGCUGGUCUGAGAGGAUGACCAGGCCCAACGGAAAUGAAGCACGGUCCCGACCCCUACCGGAGGCCGGCGGGGGGAAAUAUUGACAAUUGGCGGAAGCCCGAUUGCGCCAUGCCGGGGGGUUGAAGAAGGGCUUUGGGUUGGAAAGGAACUUCAGCGGGGAGGCGUUACCCGCAGAAGAAGCACCGGCUAACUCCGUGCCAGCAGCCGCGGUAAUUC